rnacentral:piRNA from 1 species
UCCUAGCUAUGAACCUGUACUUUGGAUUGCC